UCAGUAACACGUAGUCAACAUGCCCAGGGGACGUGGAUAACCUCGGGAAACUGAGGAUAAACCGCGAUAGGUCACUACUUCUGGAAUGGGUAAUGACCCAAACCUAUAUGGCCCCUGGAUUGGACUGCGGCCGAUCAGGCUGUUGGUGAGGUAAUGGCCCACCAAACCUGUAACCGGUACGGGCUCUGAGAGGAGGAGCCCGGAGAUGGGCACUGAGACAAGGGCCCAGGCCCUAUGGGGCGCAGCAGGCGCGAAACCUCUGCAAUAGGCGAAAGCUUGACAGGGUUACUCUGAGUGAUUUCCGUUAAGGAGAUCUUUUGGCACCUCUAAAAAUGGUGCAGAAUAAGGGGUGGGCAAGUCUGGUG
rnacentral:rRNA from 1 species